rnacentral:misc_RNA from 1 species
AAGUCGUAACAAGGUUUCCGUAGGUGAACCUGCGGAAGGAUCAUUACAGUGCUCGUCGGGACGUCUGCCAAACCGGACGCUCCCGCACCUGCCCACCCGUGUCUACCUUCUCCUCUGUUGCUUUGGCGGGCCCGGCCGGGCAGGCGUACCCACGCCUACCCGGCGACCGGCGGACCAGCCGCGUACCCACGCAGCCCCUCUGGGUAGCGCCCGUCAGAGGACCAUUGUGAACCCUUUUUUGUGAAUGUGGUAAACGUCUGAGCUGAUUAGCAGAAAUGCAAGUCAAAACUUUCAACAACGGAUCUCUUGGUUCUG